AUGCAGAUGUUUGGCAAGCAAGACGAGGAGGAUGAUUUCAAUGGUAUUACUGAUCAGCAAUCUCGGGCUGGGAUAGCAGAGGUCGCAAUAGAGAUCCAGAGGAGCAUACAGGGCAGCAGGUUUUUGCUGGUUCUUCACAAUGGAAGCAACGAGGAGAUUGACAUAUCUAGCCUUGGUCUUCCUGUAUAUGAAUAUUUGACCAACAAGGUGAUAUGGACCUUCCAAGGGAGGUUUCGGAUGGAUCCCAAUAUGAAAGACAAGGCCAUCAAGAAGGAUAUAACAAAUGUUCUUCUCUCAGCUUCAUGCUACGAGAAAAACCCACAAGAUCUCUGGUACUAUCUACUGCGCAAAGAGGCUACACUAGUUGCAUAUAAGAGUGGUGUUGAUCCUGAAAUACUUGUUCAGUGCUUCUUGUAUAUGUUGACAAUACAUUGCACCAGCCGCCAUUAUGUCGACAGCGAGUAUGAUUUGGCUACCCAUGCAUGCAACUAUUGGAUAUGUGAUGGAAUCAUACAGAAAGCCACAGACAUUGCUGAAGCAUGGCAAGUUGGUGAGAGACUGCAAGGUGAUAUCCGAUGGAAUAUGGACUACCGCGACAAUGAAUUUCCCUCUCGCUUUCUAUGGUAUGCUGAGUGCGUACCACACUGGGCAUCACCAGCUCAUGGAUUUGUGCUGGUCCCUGAUGGAGUCGUUCCUAACAGAAUGUUCCAGCAUUUUGACAAGCUUGGCGUGAUGAAACUCUCAAGAUGUAGCUUUAGCUUUUCAUCACCUCCAUUUCUCUGCUGCCACAGCCUUAGAUUUUUAUGGCUUGACCACUGUCAAAACCUAGGAAAGAGAUGA
rnacentral:rRNA from 1 species